ACUUAUUUUCUUGGGCAAUUAUUCACGUCUCUGUCAUUGCAAGCUCAUCGUUCGUCUCGAUUCGACGCAAAGGCUUGGCUUUUCAAGAUGCCGGAGGGAACUUUGAAGGGGACUAUUGCAAGAAAGGUCGACUUGCGGAAGUGUGAUAUAUAGCUGCAGUGAUUGACAAGACAGCAACAAGCACGUCUUUUUCCUUCUGAAACGUAUCGCACAGAAGUUGUCGCUUGGAUGACGGUGUACUGCCAUCGAUUCUAAUGAACUUGUAUUUCUGUAAAAAAAAUAUAUAUAAUAAAUAAACAAAUCACUUUUUUAAA